UUUGGUUUAAACCAAAGAUGCUUGAAAGUUACUUGAGAAGACAAGGUCUUGCCGGAACUCCUUACACACCUCUUAUCGGUGAUUUGAAGAGGAACGUCAACAUGUUGACGGAGGCAACAUCCAAACCCAUCAAACUAACCGAAGAUAUCACACCUCGUGUCCUGCCUCAUCCCUUCCAAAUGCUCAAGACUCACGGUAUGUGUCCUGGUUGGCCUUUUGCUUCCUCUCUGUUUUAAACUGUUGAUCAAGAGAAAAAGAGUUUCAAAUUUUGUAUAUCUAUGUGGUUUGAAACAGGAAGGACUUUCUUUACAUGGCUUGGACCCAAACCAACCAUCACCAUAAUGGAUCCAGAGCUAAUCAAAGAAGUGUUCAACAAAGUUUAUGAUUAUCCGAAGGCGCAAACGUUUCUUUUGGGCAGACUAAUAGCCACUGGAAUCAUUAAUUACGAUGGUGAUAAAUGGGCGAAACACCGAAGAAUCAUCAACCCUGCUUUUCAUAUAGAGAAGAUCAAGGUUUAAGGCUUUAUUUUUCAGUCAUGAAUCAAGUUGUAUGCUCAUUUUAUUCUGAACUAAUUUGUGCAUUCUAACUUCUAUGUAUAGAAUAUGGUACCUGCGUUCCACCAGAGCUGCAGCGAUGUUGUUGGCGAAUGGAGCAAGUUAGUGUCGGAUAAAGGGUCGUCGUCCUGUGAGGUAGACGUUUGGCCUUGGCUUGUGAGUAUGACUGGAGAUGUGAUCUCUCGUACUGCUUUUGGCAGCAGCUACAAAGAAGGGCAGAGGAUCUUUGAGCUACAAGCAGAACUAGUACAUCUCAUCUUACAAGCUUUUUGGAAAGUUUACAUCCCUGGAUAUCGGUAAUAAAAGAUCUCAACCUGCCUGGUUUUAGAACUUCACUAGUGCUGCAAACUAUUACAGAUUGUGAACCAUGAUGUGUCAUAUACUCAUAUUCUCUCUGUCUUCUGUUUGUGUAGUUAUCUCCCUACGAAGAGUAAUAGAAGGAUGAAAGCAGCAGCUAGAGAAAUCCAAGUUAUACUGAAAGGGAUCGUUAACAAAAGGUUAAGGGCGAGAGAAGCUGGGAAAGCAGCACCAAACGACGAUUUGUUGGGAAUACUUCUUGAAUCAAAUUUGGGGCAAGCCAAAGGAAAUGGAAUGAGUACUGAGGAUGUGAUGGAGGAGUGCAAGUUGUUCUAUUUCGCCGGGCAAGAGACAACUUCGGUACUUCUGGUCUGGGCAAUGGUGCUGUUAAGCCACCACCAAGAUUGGCAGGCUCGUGCACGAGAGGAAGUGAAGCAAGUUUUUGGCGAUAAAGAACCUGAUACAGAAUGUCUUAGCCAGCUCAAAGUUGUAAGUAUAAACCAAAUCAUAAACCUUCAGGUGACUUUAGUACUUUUAUUGUGUUUAGAUGGUUUUGCUGAAUGUUUCCAACAGAUGACAAUGAUAUUAUAUGAGGUUCUCAGGCUAUAUCCUCCUGUAACUCACCUGACCCGAGCGAUUGACAAAGAGAUGAAGCUAGGUGACUUGACACUACCAGCCGGUGUUCAUAUCAGUCUACCUAUAAUGCUAGUCCAACGCGACCCCAUGCUGUGGGGUACUGAUGCAGCAGAAUUUAAGCCUGAGAGAUUCAAAGACGGUCUUUCAAAGGCAACAAAGAGCCAAGUCUCCUUCUUUCCAUUUGCAUGGGGACCGAGGAUAUGCAUCGGCCAGAAUUUUGCCAUGUUAGAGGCAAAGAUGGCAAUGGCGUUGAUUCUACAGACAUUCACCUUCGAGCUUUCUCCUUCCUAUGUUCAUGCGCCUCAAACAGUCGUUACCAUUCACCCGCAGUUCGGUGCACAUCUUAUUCUGCGCAAGCUAUAAUUCUAUAACCACAUGUGCUGUUGUCAAAUAAACAUAGGAAAAUAAUCCAGAUCAUAAUAUAAAACUCAAAUCUUUUUCUUAUUUGAAGUCAGAACUUUGUCCUCACAUAUGUCUUGAGAAACCAAAAUAUUUCCAAUAAAAAGAGUGAAACGCAUGGACCAAUAGAUUUCUUCCUCUUUUCGUCGCUUUUCACACAAAGUCCAAAUAUGCUUCUGCGCUUUGGUGGCAUGUGACUGUGAGGGUCCAAGUAAAGCAAAAGAUCAAUUAAGCACAACAAAAUAAUUGUCCAAACCACCAAAAUAUAAAAUAUAAAAUAAUUUGUGACCAUCAUCACCACAUCCAUAUCUUCUCCGAUAUUCUAAACCCUGAGAAUGGUCACAAAUUCUCUAACUCUCUCUCUCUCUCUCUAGUAGAAAACAUGGAGAUAUCAGUUGCAUCGGUAACAGUUUCUGUAGCUGUAGUUGUUGUGUCGUGGUGGGUAUGGAGAACUUUACAGUGGGUUUGGUUUAAACCAAAGAUGCUUGAGAGUUACCUGAGAAGACAAGGUCUUGCUGGAACUCCUUACACGCCUCUUGUCGGUGAUUUGAAGAAGAAUUUUAGCAUGCGGGCUGAGGCAAGAUCCAAACCCAUCAACCUAACGGAUGAUAUCACACCACGUAUCGUACCUUAUCCGUUGCAAAUGCUCAAGACUCAUGGUAUGCUUCCUUGUUGGCAUCUUGAUUCCUCUUUGUUUAGAACUAUUGUAGAGUAUCUAGAAAAGGUUUCAACUUUCGUAUCUCUAUGUGGUUGAAACAGGGAGGACUUUCUUUACAUGGUUUGGAGCCAUACCAACAAUCACCAUAAUGGAUCCUGAGCAAAUCACAGAAGUGCUCAACAAAGUUUAUGAUUUCCAGAAGGCACAUACGUUUCCUCUGGGCAGAUUAAUAGCCACUGGAGUCCUUAGUUAUGAUGGUGAUAAAUGGGCGAAACACCGAAGAAUCAUCAACCCGGCUUUCCACCUUGAGAAGAUCAAGGUUUAAAGGCUUUAUCUUCCAUAGUCCCCAAUCAGAUUAGAUUGCUUUAUGUAUGUAUGUUCAUUUGGCUCUGAACCAAAUUGUGCCUUCUGCUUCUAUGUAUAGAAUAUGGUACCUGCGUUCCACCAGAGCUGCAGCGAGAUUGUUUGCAAAUGGGACAAGUUAGUGUCGGAUAAAGAGUCAUCAUGUGAGGUAGAUGUUUGGCCUGGGCUUGUGAGUAUGACUGCAGAUGUGAUCUCCCGUACUGCUUUUGGCAGCAGCUGCGUAGAAGGGCAGAGGAUAUUUGAGCUCCAAGCAGAACUAGCACAGCUCAUCAUUCAAACGGUUAGGAAAGCUUUCAUCCCUGGAUAUAGGUAAUGAAAAACUCAACUUAUCUGAUUUAAUAUAGGUCCUUCUGAGCUUGACUCUUGAUCUUAAAAUGUCGCAAUCUAUUCCUUAAAGAUAUGAACCGUGUUAACAUUAUCUUUCUGCCAAUCUUUUUCUGUAGUUAUCUCCCAACAAAAGGUAACAGAAGGAUGAAAGCAAAAGCAAGAGAAAUCCAAGUUAUACUGAGAGGGAUCGUUAACAAAAGGUUAAGGGCCAGAGAAGCUGGUGAAGCACCAAACGACGAUUUACUGGGAAUACUUCUUGAAUCGAAUUUGGGGCAAACGAAAGGAAACGGAAUGAGUACCGAGGAUCUGAUGGAGGAGUGCAAGUUGUUCUAUUUCGUCGGGCAAGAGACAACAUCAGUACUUCUGGUUUGGACAAUGGUUCUGUUAAGUCAACACCAAGAUUGGCAGGCUCGUGCACGAGAAGAAGUGAAGCAAGUGUUUGGCGAUAAAGAACCUGAUGCAGAAGGACUCAACCAGCUCAAAGUUGUAAGUAAAAGCAAAUCAUAAACCUCUUGGUGACUUUUGUUGUGUUUUGAUGAUUUUUGAUGAAUGAUUUGAUCCCACGCAGAUGACGAUGAUAUUAUAUGAGGUCCUUAGGCUAUAUCCUCCAAUACCUCAGCUGAGCAGAGCCAUUCACAAAGAGAUGGAGCUUGGAGAUCUGACACUACCAGGCGGCGUUCUGAUCAAUCUACCUAUCCUUCUAGUCCAACGCGACACGGAGCUGUGGGGAAACGAUGCAGGAGAGUUCAAGCCAGAUAGAUUCAAAGACGGUCUCUCAAAGGCAACAAAGAACCAAGCCUCCUUCUUUCCUUUUGCGUGGGGAUCGAGGAUCUGCAUUGGCCAGAAUUUUGCAUUGCUUGAGGCAAAGAUGGCAAUGGCAUUGAUACUCCAGAGAUUCUCCUUUGAGCUUUCUCCUUCCUAUGUUCACGCACCUUACACAGUCUUCACCAUUCACCCACAGUUCGGUGCUCCUCUUAUCAUGCACAAGCUCUAAUCGUUCGUAGCAACCCAUUUUGUUGUUAUCAAAUAUACUUUCCAUUCACAGAUGAAACAAUUCCAUAUCAGUCUACCUAUAAUGCUAGUCCAACGCGACACCAUGAUGUGGGAAUUCAAGCCUGAGAGAUUCAAAGACGGUCUUUCAAAGGCAACAAAGAGCCACGUCUCCUUCUUUCCAUUUGCAUGGGGACCGAAGAUAUGCAUCGGCCAGAAUUUUGCCAUGUUGGAGGCAAAGAUGGCAAUGGCGUUGAUUCUACAGAGAUUCUCCUUCGAGCUUUCUCCUUCCUAUGUUCAUGCGCCUCAAAUAGUCGUCACCAUUCACCCACAGUUCGGUGCACAUCUUAUCCUGCGCAAGCUGUAAUUCUAGAAUCCCAUGUGCUCUUGUCAGAUAAACAGAGGAAAAUAAACCAGAUCAUAGUAUAAAACUCAAAUCUUUUUAUUAAUUGAAUUCAGAACUUUGUGCUCACAUAUGUCUUGACAAACCAAAAUAUUUCCAAGAAAAAGAGUGAAACGCAUGGACCAAUAUAUGUCUUCCUAUUUUCGUCGCUUUUCACACGAAGUCCAAAUUUGCUUCUUGCGCCUUGGUGGCACGACUGUGAGGGUCCAAGUAAAGCAAAAAUUAAUUAGUCAUUACAAAAUAAUUGCCCAAAAUAUCAAAAUAUAAAGUAUUUAAGACAUCAGGGGUGAUGUCAUCACCACAUCCAUAUCUUCUCCGAAAUUCUAAACAUUUAUACAUCCUGAGAAUGGUCACAAAUUCUCUACCUCUCUCUCUCUCUCUCUCUGGUAGAGAAAAUGGAGAUAUCAGUUGCAUCGGUAACAGUUUCUGUAGCUGUAGUUGUUGUGUCAUGGUGGGUAUGGAGAACUUUACAGCGGGUUUGGCUUAAACCAAAGAUGCUUGAGAGUUACCUGAGAAGACAAGGUCUUGCCGGAACUCCUUACACGCCUCUUGUCGGUGAUUUGAAGAGAAAUUUUAGCAUGCUGGCUGAGGCAAGAUCCAAACCCAUCAAC
rnacentral:lncRNA from 1 species